rnacentral:tRNA from 1 species
ACUGAAAUAGCUCAGUAGGGAGAGCGUUAGACUAUACAUCGAAAAGUCCCUGGUUUGAUCCCGCGUUCCAGCA